rnacentral:lncRNA from 1 species
GAUUUUUUUGUUUUACAAUACAUAGUAUGUAGGAUUAAGAGAAGCUAAUAAAUUAAUAAAUGAAUAGUUUAGAGGUAGGAUGGAUGAUGUAGUCAAAAAAAGUAGUUACCAUCAGUUGUAUAGUGGUUGGCAUUUUGAUGAAAGCAUAAGUAGGUUGAAGAAGAAGUAGAAAGGACCAAACUGUGAUAGUCAUGAUCUUGGGUAAGCUUAGUGCUACCUCUUUGUUUCUUUGUUUUUUUAUAAAAGAAGAGUAAUGAAUAGAAUUUGAAUAAUGUGAAGUGAAAUUUAGAAA